rnacentral:lncRNA from 1 species
CAGUAAUCCACUGGGGUACGCUUCCGCGCUGUGGAGAGUAUGUUCUUUUGCUCUUCACAGUAAAUCUUGCUAAUGCUCACUUUUUGGGUCCACACUACUUUUAUGAACUGUAACACUCACUGCGAAGGUCUUUAGCUUAACUCCUGAAGCCAGCAAGACCACGAAUCCUCUGGGAGGCAUGAACAACUCCUGACCCGCCACCUUAAAGAGCUGUAACACUCACUGUGAAGGUCUGCGGCUUCACUCCUGAAGUCAGCGAGACCACGAACGCACCAGAAGGAAGAAACUCCCCACACAUGUGAACAUCUGAAGGAACAAACUCCCGACACUCCAUCUUCAAGAACUGUAACACUCACCGUGAGGGUCUGCAGCUUCAUUCUUGAAGUCAGCAAGACCAAGAACCCACCAGAAGAAACCAAUUCCGGCCACAGUGUCUCCUUGGCUUACUGUGGAAAAACUCAAGGGGAGAUUAUUCUCUGAAAAAUCUUACCAGGAGGUGAAAAUCUGACAGCUCAAAAUGAAGCAAAAACCCAAGAUUAAAACAGACACCAUUUUGUGCCCACUCAGUCUUCUUUCCAGGGUCAUACAUGUGUUUAUAACCGCACUUCUACAUUCUAUUAUGAGGGCAAGAGUUGUGGCUGCUAUAUAAAUGCUUCCUAGCAUAGUUCCUGACAACUAGGUGAUUCAUGAAUAUUUGCUGAAGAAAUAAAAAUAACUUUAUGAACAUCGUUACACAUCCUGCUUAAUUUUUCAAUUCGCAUAAUUUUUUUCUGUAUAUCCUCUAAUUUAAUACUAUUUCAUAGUUAUGGUAUUUGUUAAAGGAAUAUAAAACAUCAAUACGCAGCAAUAGAUCAACUGUACCAUACCUCCAAAAUACAAUGUAGCCAGUUGUCAACUCUACCUAUGAAAGAAAUUGGUCCAGCCUUGGACAGGCAUGGUGGCUCAUGCCUGUAAUCCUAGCACUUUGGGAGGCUGAGGCGAGCGCAUUGCCUGAGCUCAGGAGUUUGAGACCACCCUGGGCAACGUGGUGAAACCCCAUCUCUCCUAAAACAAAAAAUUAGCCAGGCGCGGUGGCAGAUGCCUGGUAGUCCCAGCUACUCCAGAGGCUGAGGCACUAGAAUUGCUUGAACCUGGGAGGCAGAGGUUGCAAGUAGACAAGAUCGUGCCACUGCACACCAGCCUGGGUGACAGAGUGAGACACUGUCUCAGAAAAAAAAAAUAAAAAUGUUUAAAAUUUUUAAAAAGAAAAGGGUCCAGUCCAAUUCAUUUCCCUCGAUCUGAUGGGUACAGUGGAAUUUGAGAUCAUGUUCAAUGAAGCUGUGAUGCUACCUGCAGUAAAACAUGUUUGUUAUUAUGGCAGAGGCAGCCUUCUGGAGUGUCCACUGUGAAGAUGCUGGCUGCAGCACAGGAGGUGUAGACAGGGUUGUCCACUCAGUGGAGCAGGUAGGGGCCGGGAACAGGCAGGAGCCCUGCCCCCUACCGGGUUAAAGGGGCAACAGCCCCAUGCUCCCGGAUGCAGCGGCAGCCUCCCAGCUGCAGCUCUGGACCAGGGAAUACCUGUGCUCUCAGGGGCCCAGGAAGUCCCACUGCUCGCACAGGCUUGGAAGUGCCUGCUCCGUCUCCCUGGCUUCUCUCCACUUCCAGCACUGGCUCCAAUUUCGGAGCAAAGUUGAAGCUGAGCCUGGGUGCUCUCAUGACCCAUUGGGUAUGUGUAGAUUAUGGCACUGACAGGUCACCUCCUCCUGCAACCUCUGCCCACUCUGAAACUUUGGGCACUGAGGAGCUCAGGGAGAGAGGGUGAAGGGGGUUGGAGGUGGCUCAGCACAGGCCUGCAGAUGCCCCUUGGGCACAAACAGACUGAGUACUGUGAACAGCAUGUUUGUGGCAGGAGGCAGACAGGUUCCUGGGCAGAAAGGGUUGGGUCUGCAGUGAAACUCCACCUUCAAGCCAGGAACAGCCUGAAGCCUGGGGGCUGGGCUGCCGGUUCUGGGUGCAGUCCAUAGCGUGGAGUGAGAACUUAUGGUGCAUUUUCCAGGCCUGCCCAUGGCUGCCCAUAGACCAAUCAGCAGACAGUUCCUCCCUCCUGAGCCCGUAAAAAUCCCGGGACUCAGCCAGACUGACACAGAGGUAGGGAUUAUCAGCUGCAGGAAGGAGCUGCCCACUGCAGGUCUCCUCUCUACUGAGAGCUGGACACUAGCUGGGACAACCUGCCCGCAGAAAGGAUCUAACCACUUCUGGUCUCCUAGAAGCUGUUCUGUCGCUCAAUGAAGCUAGUCUCCACUUUGCUUACCCUCCAGGUUGUCUGCAUACCUCAUUCUUCCUGGAUACGGGACAAGAACUCAGUACCCACUAAAUGGCAAGACUAAAACAGCUGUAACACAAACAGUACUGAAACACACCCACCCGUUUGCCAUUUUGUGGGUGACGAAAAGGAGAGAAGUCCUGCAGCCUAUGUCUGGGAACCCAGACCUCAGGGCUCUUUAAGCCAGGACUGUGACAUGCUGUAACAACCUCUUUGAGGCUCUGCAGUUUCUGGGAUCUCCAAGAUUUCGGGCGCCACUGCAUUCCCCUUGUCCAGAUGUUGGUGCCCACAGCAGAAGUCACCUGCAGUACAUCUGGUACAGCUGCAGCCUUGCAUGGAGUUGGCACCUGUGCCAGCACCUGGAGCUGCCUGUCCAUCACAGCUGGCAUGCCUGGCUGUGCACAGUGGCCAGGCCCCACGCUUACCUGCUCACACACCCCUCACUGCUUCAUGCCUAGCUCACACUUGGCAGGUGUGGGAUCCAGGCUGGUAGCAGGAGCUGAGUGCAUCAUGCUAGGCUGAUUGGACAGAACAAGCCCAGUAGGCCUGAGCAAAACUUGGGCAAAGACGCCACCGGCCAUAGAGGUUUCUGGCUGGAAACCAGUGACACCCAAAGGAUCCUGCGACAGUAUCACACCAAAUAAAGGGAAGUGCUGACAAUUAUUUACUCAUUUAAACUAAAUAAUUCAGAUACAGAACAUCUUGUCAUGUUUGUCUAGAGAAAAUGGUUCCAUAGGUAAAAUUAAGAGGCUAAUUUCCAAAGUUGAAUAUUGGCACAGGAAAAAAAACCAAGUAUGUAUAUAGAGAGAAUAGCUCAGAAAGAAAAAAAUGUAACUCUAUGCAAUUGAGAGAGACGAUGUAACUUGAAAGGAUUAACAAUGCACAACGUCAUUGAUCAGCUGAAAAGCAGGUACUAUCUAAUGCACACAGCCAGGCAUGUUCUGUUAACUUCAAAGUGUUCUCAGCC